rnacentral:rRNA from 1 species
GAUGAACGCUGGCGGCGUGCUUAACACAUGCAAGUCGAACGAAGCACUUUAUUUGAUUUCCUUCGGGACUGAUUAUUUUGUGACUGAGUGGCGGACGGGUGAGUAACGCGUGGGUAACCUGCCUUGUACAGGGGGAUAACAGUUGGAAACGGCUGCUAAUACCGCAUAAGCGCACAGCAUCGCAUGAUGCAGUGUGAAAAACUCCGGUGGUAUAAGAUGGACCCGCGUUGGAUUAGCUAGUUGGUGAGGUAACGGCCCACCAAGGCGACGAUCCAUAGCCGACCUGAGAGGGUGACCGGCCACAUUGGGACUGAGACACGGCCCAAACUCCUACGGGAGGCAGCAGUGGGGAAUAUUGCACAAUGGGCGAAAGCCUGAUGCAGCGACGCCGCGUGAGCGAAGAAGUAUUUCGGUAUGUAAAGCUCUUUCAGCAGGGAAGAUAAUGACGGUACCUGACUAAGAAGCACCGGCUAAAUACGUG